CCUACGGGAGGCAGCAGUAGGGAAUCUUGGACAAUGGGGGCAACCCUGAUCCAGCCAUGCCGCGUGAGUGAAGAAGGCCCUAGGGUCGUAAAGCUCUUUCGCCUGUGAUGAUAAUGACAGUAGCAGGUAAAGAAACCCCGGCUAACUCCGUGCCAGCAGCCGCGGUAAUACGGAGGGGGUUAGCGUUGUUCGGAAUUACUGGGCGUAAAGCGCGCGUAGGCGGAUUGGAAAGUUGGGGGUGAAAUCCCGGGGCUCAACCCCGGAACUGCCUUCAAAACUCCCAGUCUAGAGUUCGAGAGAGGUGAGUGGAAUUCCGAGUGUAGAGGUGAAAUUCGUAGAUAUUCGGAAGAACACCAGUGGCGAAGGCGGCUCACUGGCUCGAUAUUGACGCUGAGGUGCGAAAGUGUGGGGAGCAAACAGGAUUAGAUACCCUGGUAGUCCACACCGUAAACGAUGAAUGCCAGUCGUCGGAUAGUAUACUAUUCGGUGACACACCUAACGGAUUAAGCAUUCCGCCUGGGGAGUACGGUCGCAAGAUUAAAACUCAAAGGAAUUGAC
rnacentral:rRNA from 1 species